GAUGAACGCUGGCGGCGUGCCUAAUACAUGCAAGUCGAGCGAACAGACGAGGAGCUUGCUCCUCUGACGUUAGCGGCGGACGGGUGAGUAACACGUGGAUAACCUACCUAUAAGACUGGGAUAACUUCGGGAAACCGGAGCUAAUACCGGAUAAUAUAUUGAACCGCAUGGUUCAAUAGUGAAAGACGGUUUUGCUGUCACUUAUAGAUGGAUCCGCGCCGCAUUAGCUAGUUGGUAAGGUAACGGCUUACCAAGGCAACGAUGCGUAGCCGACCUGAGAGGGUGAUCGGCCACAGUGGAACUGAGACACGGUCCAGACUCCUACGGGAGGAGACAGGAGGGAAUCUUCCGCAAUGGGCAAAAGCCUGAAGGAGCAACCCCGGGGGAAUGAUGAAGUUCUUCGAAUCGUAAAAAGUUGUUAUUGGGGAAGAACAAAAGUGUAAGUAACUAUGCACGUCUUGACGGUACCUAAUCAGAAAGCCACGGCUAACUACGUG
rnacentral:rRNA from 1 species